ACACAAUAAGGGGAAGUGCAGUGCACAAGAACCAUAACUCUAUCUAAAGUAAUUACAGAGUUAUUGCCCUUUGUUGCUUUUCAAUUGCCUUCUGUUUUUGUCCGGAGCAUAACUUGAAGACUAAUGGUUGGAAUUCAAUAUAACUACAUACAAUGGUCAAGCACAUUGAGAGAAGUGCAAUGCACAAGAACCAUAACUCCAUUUUGACUUAUUACAGAGUUACUGCUCUUUGUUUCUUUUCCUUGUCCAGAGCAUGACUUUAAAACUACUGGUUGGUAUUCAAAACAACUUCAUACAAUGGUCAAGCACAAUAAGGGAAAGUGCAGUGCACAAGAACCAUAACUCCAUCUUGACUAAUUACAGAGUUACUGCCCUUUGUUACUUUUCCUUGUCCAGAGCAUGACUUGAAAACUACUGGUUGGAAUACAAAACAACUUCAUACAAUGGUCAAGCACAAUAAGGGGAAGUGCAGUGCAUAAGAAUCAUAACUCCAUCUUGACUAAUUACAUAGUUAUUGCCCUUUUUUACUUUUCCUUGUCCAGAGCAUAACUUGAAAACUACUGUUUGGAAUUCAGUACAACUUCAUACAGUUGUCAAGGACAUUCAAAGGAAGUGCAGUGCACAAGAGCCAUAACUCCAUUUUGACAAAAUACAGAGUUACUGCCCUUUGAUACUUUUCCUUGUCCGGAGCAUAACUUAAAACGUACUAGUUGGAAUUCAAAACAACUUCAUACAAUGGUCAAGCACAAUAAGAGAAAGUGCAGUGCACAAGAACUAUAACUUUAUCUUCAGUAUUUAUAGAGUUAUUGCCCUUUGUUCUUUUUCUUUGUCUUUCUGGACUUAUUACAGAGUAAUUCAAUUAAACUUCAUCAAUGGCCAACCACAUUGAAAGGAAAUGCAACCUACAUGAACCACAAUUAUCUUUAAUUGCCCACAACCAUAACUCUAUGUUUCAAUUCUUUUGCAAGGUAUUCUGUUACUAGUAAUAUCCUCAUUUCCGAAGCAGACUUGUGGGGGUAUUAAUCACAUCUAGUGAUAGUUCUAGUUGAUUUUUGUUCUUAUAUUUUUACAAAGUCCUUUAUAGUGAAGUAGGUACCAUAUUGUUGACAAGCAUACAUGUAUAUCUCAAACUAUUAAGUUAACACAUUUGUUGAGCAGAAGCGUGUCCAUUUGGAGAUACCCCUUACAAAAUUCCGGGCCUGUUCGUUGGUUGUUCCGAAUUUCUUGGAUCUCCUAAAGAAACUUACAAUUGUUACUAUGAACCAUUAUGGCAACACUGCUGUUUUACUUGUGAAGCUAUAAAGAAAUCUAACACGGCGUAUAAAGAUUGUGACUAUGGAGAUAAAAAGCCAUUUUGUGUAGGAAUGUCAUUACAACAGUGUCGAAAUAACUUUGAAACUUGCUGUAAAACAUGCCAAGAUAUACGAUUAGAUAUUCCAGGUUGUCCUUGGGGUGAUGAAUAUACUGACUGUACUCAGAGUCAUUGCACCAGUGAUUUUUCGAAAUGUUGCCAAACCUGUACCCCAACUACUACAGCUAUUUAUACAACCGCCUCCGCUAAAUCGAGCCGAGUGCAAGUUAGCCCCGCGUUAUUGUUCUGUUUGUAUUUAUAUCAAUUUUAUUCAUGGAUUCUGUCGAUACGUUGAUAUAUUUAUUUUAAUUGUACUGGGGUAAAAAUUAUGCAUUAGGUUAAACCAUCGGGAUCUUUUUAUUGCAUUUUUUGCAGAAAUUUUCCCCGUGCAACAUGCCGAUACUUUACUUUUUUCAUUUUUUAUUGUUACUUCACUUUCAGUCGUCAUGCAACGUUUAAUACUGAUCUAUCCAACAUAAUUCGAUUAAACUUUAAAUCAUUUCACUUAAUCGAAGAUAUAAUAUAAUCUUUCUCAUAGAAUUUUAGCAAAUUUUGGCAGUUUUUAGUUAAUUCCCAAAGAAAAGUUUUUAAAAGAGCACUUUAAUUGAAAAGGUUAAAACGUAGGAUAGCGAACUUCGUUGUUUUUAUCAUUUUUUUCUUAAAUAAAAUCCAUUUUACCAUGCAAAGCUUAAGAAAAGUAUCUGCUCUACUUUAAAUAUUCAUUCUUUUCCGCUGUAAAAUAUUAAAAAUUUGAUGUUGUCAUUGUGUCUUUGUUAUCGCUGAAGUAAAAGUUUAGGGUAUUUUGCAAGUUUGCCAGAAAUAUUUUGAACAAGAAACUAUGAUAUAACAGGAUGGCAUUUAUUUCGGUAAUGACACUGUAUUUCUUCGGUAACGUAGAUUUCAGAUCUAAUAAUGUAACAUAUUGGCUGCAUAUUAAUAACAAAUGUCUGUAAAAUAUACCCAAAUCUGUAAAUGUUCUAUCUAGAGGGACUUUCUAACCCAGGAAAAUUCAAAGAAGUUUGGUACCUUGCUAAUUUUCAGUCAAUUUCUUAAAUAUUCGUAGAAAGCAAAAAUAGUCAAUUUUGGAAAUGAUUAUUUUAUGUCUUCAUUCAAAGGAUAUAUAUCAUAUAUAAUAUAUGAGAGGUCGAAUGCAUACACAAAUUUUGUAUUAGCAUUUUUUUUCCAAAACAUUCAACUUUCCACUUUCUUAAUAUUUGGAAAAUUUAGUACAAAGCAGUUCGAUAUUUAUCCCCAUAUAGGAUGUCACGUAUGUUUCAUUUUAUUCAAAUGCAAGCAAAGGUUGAGUAAACAAUUUUAUUUUUUGUAAAAUAAUUUAUAUUUAUGGAUAUUAUUUUAACAUCAUUAUAAUAUAGAAUGAAAUACGGCCAGUUAGCUUUUUGCAGAAACGAAUUAGUUGUUGCUGAGAACAUCAAUAUCUUGUAAUAUAUUUUCAACAUUUCUGCUGAUACAUCAACAUAUUAUUAACAUAUCUUUCCUUUGUAAAAACAAUUUUGUGUCUUCUUACAUCUAAUACAAGGUAACCGUUACUAACAGGCAUGCUAAUCCCAACUUUAUCUUUAAUUUUCAAAAGUUGUUGAAUUGUAAGUUGGAGUAACGUAUGUUUCACACUCGCUUAUUUAAGAACUUUAUCACGGAAUUUAAACUUACAUGUAAAAUCGACUUUUUUUAUUUAGGAAUCAAAUGCACAUCAUUCUAUUGUCAUAAAAAUGCGAUUUUAUGUUUUUAUAUAUGCAUGUGUAAACAAUAUAAAGUCUGUUUGAUAAAAGUAACGUUUGUUUCACUGUGGUUACUUAAACAAGCAAAAACUCGACCAAAGUUAACAAAAUUUACUUACUAAUGUCAAAUAGAUGUUAAUGUUGCUGUUAUACCCGCUUUCUGACUACAAUUUUCCUUUUUAUAAACUUACUUUAAAAAGUUGAUAACGUAUGUUUAUGUAACGUAUGUUUCAUUUUUACAUUGAAAGUGGGUUAAAAAAUGACGCAAGACCGUUUAAGCCGCCAUAAUUUGUGGUUAAUUUAUCAGUGUUACACACAUGUAAAUUUUCUUUCUUGUUUGGAAUCUUCUUUGAAUGGAUUGGCUCUUAAAUAAUGGUAACGUAUGUUUAUUUUUAAAGUGCUGUUGAAAAGAUUUGAAUAAAAAAUGAACAUUUCCGAAAAUAGAAUGAUAUUUGAGAGGCUGCAAGCUUAUUUUUACUUAUAAUUAUUAAUAUGCUGUAUUAUUAAGCAUGCAUCGAUUCAAUUAUGUAAUUUGAGUUUCACUUCUUAUUGUUAUAGGUUUGUCACUAUUUAUUUAUAUGCAUUUGGCGACAUUUGAUCAUCCUUUAUACCAAUGAAAUUUUAACAGUCAAAUAUAAUUUUUACCAAUAAUCAAAGUUCAUAUACACACAGCAAUGACUAAUUGCACAUGUUUUAUUCUGGAACUUAUUUUUCUGAAACACAAUUUCAAAGUUGAAAAUUCCAGGUGGCGACAGUAACGUAUGUUACAUUUUAGGACAUUAAUGGUACUUGUAAAUGGUAAAUACUAAAUAACAGAUAGAAAUGUAAAACUGAGAGUGCCCCUAUUAGACAAAGUGACAGCCACCUUUCUAACGACAUUUUGACCUCAAGAAAAACCUUCGUAUAAGAGCUAACCAGUGGAACAUCAAAUUUUGUGUUUUAUUGAGAAUGAGCGUGUAUUGGAUUGUGACUGGCCAUGAGAAACAGUAAACUUGGCAACUAAAUACAUUGUACCACUUUAUCAGUUUUCAAUCUUAAUGAAAUCAAAUCGAGCCUUUAGAUAAAAGUCGUUUGCACUGUUGUCAAUGAUCUGUAGGGGUCCAUGUAAAAGGCGAUGCUAGAUUAUAUAUUAUUACAUAGCAAAUUCAGUAAUAACUUUAGCAAAUCUGUCAGUCAUUUGCUAAAAAAGGAAAUGUAGGUCGGCAACAAGAUAGCUUUAUUUUGAAAUGGGCAUGUCAUUUCAUAAUCUCUGGAUUAUUGUCAAUGUUUUUAUACAAAAAAAGCCCAUGGUUGAAAUGAACUUUCAUAGAUUAAAUGGUUAUCUUUACAAAAUAAAUACAAACAUACUUUGAGUUUUCACUUAUUUUAAAAGUUAUUAGUUAUUAUUCAACCAUAUUUUCACCAUUUUCAGUUUACCCUUUAAAGGGUACAAAGCUAUAUUUCAUGAAAUAUAUUUAUAACAUUUAUCAAAAUUUACAUAAUAUAUUAUAUACAUAUUUUUCACAAUCUCAUGGUCGAUUCUUAUAAAGAGUUUUUAACAUAGAAUGUCCCUGUAAUUGGAUACUCCUGAAUACUACACGUAAACAGAAUAAAAUAUUGCAGAACAGACUACAUAAGGUUAAAUCUAUUUAGCAGUGAUUUCAUAAUACGUCAUUUGCUUUUAAAAAUAUUUACAUAUUUAUUUCAUAUAAGCAUUUCAUAUAAGCAUUUUGGAAGUCUUUCUUUUUCAUUCAAACAACAACUUUUGCAGCAGAUCUAAACAUAGCUUUAUACACUUAAAUUAUCAUUGUGAUUUGUGAAACUCUAUUUGUUUUAAGUCAUAAAUGAAAAAAAGGGUUUAAAUUGUCAAACGUACUGACAGUAACGUUGUGCUAAUGAAAUAAAAAUAGAAAUAAUAGUUGUAAAGAGACUAUAGAAAACAUAUUAUUUCUGUUGUAAAUUUGCAAUAAAAGGUGAAAAUAAAAGAGCUUCUGAAUAAAAAUACAA